rnacentral:rRNA from 1 species
AGACGGGGCCCGCACAAGCGUGGAGCAUGUGGUUUAAUUCGAAGCAACGCGAAGAACCUUUACCAGGUCUUGACAUCCCGAUGCUAUUUCUAGAGAUAGAAAGUUACUUCGGUACAUCGGUGACAGGUGGUGCAUGGUUGUCGUCAGCUCGUGUCGUGAGAUGUUGGGUUAAGUCCCGCAACGAGCGCAACCCCUAUUGUUAGUUGCCAUCAUUCAGUUGGGCACUCUAGCGAGACUGCCGGUAAUAAACCGGAGGAAGGUGGGAUGACGUCAAAUCAUCAUGCCCCUUAUGACCUGGGCUACACACGUGCUACAAUGGUUGGUACAACGAGUUGCGAGUCGGUGACGGCGAGCUAAUCUCUUAAAGCCAAUCUCAGUUCGGAUUGUAGGCUGCAACUCGCCUACAUGAAGUCGGAAUCGCUAGUAAUCGCGGAUCAGCACGCCGCGGUGAAUACGCUCCCGGGCCUU